rnacentral:tRNA from 1 species
GAGAGAUGGCUGAGCUGGUCUAAGGCGCACGACUGGAAAUCGUGUGAACGCUAAUACCGUUCCAAGGGUUCGAAUCCCUUUCUCUCC